rnacentral:sRNA from 1 species
AGCUUCUGGGCAAACUCGGGGUGUCCCCUCUAGGCGCUUAGCAGGUUUGUGUUCUCAAAGAUCGGUUAUCUCUAGGGAAGGGGGCGUGGCUGCCCUGGGGGCUUGCCUCGUCGGAGGCGCGGUGUAGAGGCGGACCCAGAGAUUGAUGGAGCUACCGCGACUAUCAUCUGAGCCGCCCGGUUAGGCGUCGCCCGGUUGGCGCUCCAGGCAAGCUUCUGGCUUUGGUGCGGCAGCAGCGAGUCCUGAUGUGUUCCCAUAUCGUUGUCGUCAUUGCUUGCGCACAGACGGGCUAAGUGGUUGAUAUCCAGAACGCAGCCCCAAGGCUCUUAGACCCUGAUAAGAACAUCCUCAUCUUCCCCGGUUGUCAUGGCUCCAGACUCACGGUAAAGUCUGACUGAUAUGAUACUCCAUGGGAACAUUUGUUCCAUGCUUGAAAGCCCUAGUUGGGGAUUUUUUUUUAAUCCCUUCAUCAUGGGGCCUCACUAAGCAGUUUAUUCACAAAGCAUGAAGGAGAAAGGGGGAAGAAGAGAAGAGAGGAGAGCAGAGAUGAGGCACCUGGAGAGGGUGGUGGUGGAAAGUGGGCACUGGCCCCAGUGUGUGUACUGAUGUUACCCAUGCCAUAUCCUCCCUCAUCUUUCACAAUGAAGAGGCCAAGUGCUUCCCCUCCCAGGGCCACCUCCAUUCACUCCAGCUCUGUGGAUGUGGAAGACUCACACUUGAUGCUACUCCUGAUGGUCCCACCUCCCCGAGGCUCGCCGAGCUGAAUUACUUUUCCGUGGAGUGGCCUCUCUCUCUGACUGUUCUGUCUUUGCAGAGAUGACCCUGCCAGGGGAGGAGCACACUCAAAGGUAAGGUCACCUAAGCUGCUCAAGGUCCUGAGCGCUCUGGAGGAGGGUGAGUCUGGCAGCAACAGGGAGGAGAUUUUCAUUGCACCCCCUAACAAUGCCUCCGAGGACCUCACUGAUGAGGAUUCUGGGGAAGAAGACAGUGACCAGAAUAGUGCCCAGCUGCCUGGCUGGGUGCUGCGUGCAUCAGUCCUGUCUGAGAACUC